CCAGAAACUGUCUUCAACAGAAAAAUCUGACUCCCCAAGUAUACAAGGAAGCUUCAACUAUCAAAGAAAGGAGAUUGGAUGAGAGAAAGGCCAUUUUGAGCAAAAAGCCAAACAUUCUUCACAAAAAACACUUGUUCUUCAUUCUAAAAUCAAAAAAAGUGUUUGAGCUUAGUUGUAAUAUUUCUAGAUUUUUAAAGUGUCGUAGUUGUACUUCUUUUUCUUCUCUUUCUCAGUAAAUUAGAGUGUGGGAAGUACUUUAAAGAUUGUUGUAAGGGAUUAGAGGUUGGGUUAGAAGCUCACCUUGUAAAAGCUUGGUGGAAGCUGUUAAUUCCACUAGUAUAGUGAAGUUGGGAUUGAAAAUCCUUGAUUAGGAUAUCAGGGUAAUAGAUGUAGGUCAAAGGGAUCGAACCACUGUAAAUAGCUUUGCAUUGUCCACUUCUCUCCACCCUUCCUUACUUUGUGUCUUUUAACUACCACAAGCUUCAUAUCUAUUUUUCUCUAAUUUGUUAAAAGCUCUAUCAUUUUAAAAUGGCUGAUUCUAAAAAUUUUUAAUGCUAUUCACCCCUUCUAUCACUCUAACAGGACCAAAAAAUGGUAUCAAAGCAAUACCCUCAAUUUUAAGGCAUAACAUUCUUAGGGAAAAUCCACAUGGCUUUGCAAAAGUUAGUUGUUGCUGAAGGUCAAUCCAUAAAUAGGCCUUCUCUAUUUGACGGAUUAAAUUAUGCUUAUUGGAACACUAAGAUGUCCAUAUAUAUUAGAGCCUUGACUAUGAAAUGUGGGAUGUUGUUAUGGAAAGACCUUAUAUUCCCACCUUAUCUAGUUUUGUCACUAGUGAGAAAAUGCCAAAGCUUAGAGCUGAGUGGGCUGAGGCUGAAGUCAGAAAGGUCUAAAAGAAUUUUAAAGCCAUUAACACCCUUCAUUAUGUACUUACUUCCUUAGAAUUCAACAAAAUCUCUGAUUGUACUACAACAAAAAAGAUUUGGGAAAAACUCAAAGUCAUUCAUGAAGGGACUUCACAAGUAAAGAAGUCUAAAAUUACCUUACUCACCCAUAAUUAUGAAAUGUUUAAAAUGGAACUAGGUGAAGAUGUCAUUACCAUGUUCGAUAGGCUUACCAAUAUUACAAACAAGCUCAAUCAACUUGGAAAAACUAUUCCUGUCACGACCCGAUACUCUCCUCGAGCUCGUGACAACCGCCAUUGUGUCCCGAUGGACACUCAUUACCCGGAAUGCCAACCGGAACCCCGCAAGGCUUUAAUAUCAGUUUCUCAUUUCCCCUGUGAGUAAUUGUUGCUAAAUAUAAUGUUUUAAAAGAUUUUAAGCUAUUUCUAAAUUUAAACAAUAAAAAAAUGAUUUCUGUCUCACAGGGGCAUUUUGGUCAUUUUUCCUUAAAAAUUUUGAAAUAUGGUAAAAAUGUAAUAUGCAAUUACAAAACAUAUAAUUCAGAAUAAAAAAUAAGUUUAAAUAUCUAAAACCUUAAUUUAAAAUGAAAUUAUGAUUAUUUGGAUAUAAUAAAAUAAAAUAAAAGAAAUAUUUAAUAAAAUAUUAUAUUUUCUUAUAAAAUAAUAUUUUUAGAGUUAUACGUAAAUAAUUUUUGCAGCGUAAAAAUAAAAUAAAUUCAUACAUACUGUAAUACAGUAAGCCAGAGUAUUUAAUUUAAUUUACAAUAACUAGUAGGCCCCCAAAUAACCAAAAGUAAGAGAGACUGUGAACCUACAGUUUGAAGGAUGCAAAUCCAAUGGUAGCCUCGGUGAAAUCAGCUAUCUACAACCUAUUCUGAGCCUGAAAUGGGUGGAAAGGAGGGUGGUGAGAUUAUAUAAUCCCAGUGAGUAAACAAAAAUCAUCCAAAAUAUCUAAAGUCGAGUAAAUGGAGACGAUUAAAAUAUUCCAUCUCAAUAUGUAUUUCAUAACAUAAAUAUUCAUUUUAUUUAAAUAAUCAACAUGGCUUAUGAGUAUCUUAAAAGCUUGGCUUCUACCAAAAUCAUUCUCGGGAAUACCUUGGCCGAGGCAUUUAAUCGAGUCUGCCAAGGUUGUUAAAAAUUUCGUAUACACAUAAACAUAUUUUUAAUUUGAAAAACACAGCCGAUCCUUGGCGUUAGCGGAGUUCAUCAUCACGAGGUGGUUCGGCGUGACGUGAACUCUAACCAUACCUCAGGAGAUACCCUACGCGCCUCUCGGACCGAGGUACAUAUGUAACCAGAUUCUGUGCCCCUCUAAUAGGCUGAUCCACAGAACUCGCCCAUUGGAGCAAGCUAAACCCACCAUACAAUAAAAUUUCAACAGCAUGACAUGGCAAUUUUAUCAUUAUCCAGUCAAUCAAGGCAAACAGCAGUUUAUACAUUUCAACACAAAUACCAAUUCAGCCAUUCAUGCCAAUAUUGUCAUAAGCCAAUCAAUUAGAACCAUAAAUUCACAAUACAUCAAAUGGUCUCCAAUUACUCUAUUUUCAAAGCCAUCAUUCAAUUUCAAGACAAUGUUAUAAAAUCAUUUCAUUAAAUCACAUUUUAGUUACAAAACACAAGAAUUUACCAUUUAACUCAUUUUCCAUAAAAUUCACAAAAAUUGAAUAAAAGAUCACUUUAGAUAAUUAAAAUGAUGAUAAGGUUACUCACUAUUUCGGAAGUCGAAGUUUUAGAGUACUCCGACUAUCGAUCCUGGGGUACAAUUUCCUUGCCUUUAUCGGAGGAUUUACCACCUAGACAUAAUGCACAAUAAAGCAAUUUACCACAUUGGUGCUAAAUCAUUAUAAAGCUAUAUGGAUGCAUGAAAUAUAAUGAAAAUUGUUUGGAUUAUCGUCUAAACACUGUGUUCUACACAAAUUUUAUUGUGUACCCUAAUAAUACAGUAUUGGCCUAAUUCGAUCUAUCACUCGAUUAAUUGGCCAACAUGUCCAAUUCAACUCCAAUUAAUUCCAUUUUUCUUCUAAUUCUCCAAACCAUCAAACACAAGUCAAUUAGCAUAAAAUUUAGCAAAAUCAUCUUCACAUUUUCUGUUAGGAAUUUCGACCAUAGUGAGUGCAUCAACACUAUGAUUUUUCCUACUCGAUUUUCUCACCAUAAUUCAUCAUUUCCUAACCAAUUCACUAGAAAUAAAAUCGAAAUCAUCAUCAAUAUUCCACAUGGAGAAUUAGGCCAAUGAUGGGUGAUGGGAGAAAAUGAAUUUUUCUUAUUGGUUUUUCAUGCUACACAUCACUAACUAACUAAAAACACUAAAAUAUCUUAAAAUCUAACCAAAUCAAGCAUCAAAACUCCUCCCCCCAUGUUCAGCCAGCAAGGGACCCAUCAUGAAACCAUGUGAUUCAACCAUGGAAAAUGCAAAAGAAUGUAUGGGAAAGGUAAAUCACAAGUCAAAAUCAAGAAAUUUUACCUUUAAUUGCUUGAUUACUUGAAAUCCGCAAAUUUUCUCUUAAAUUUUCACUCUAAGGUUUUUGUUCUUUCUUUUCUUCCUUUGUUCUUCCUUUGGCCAGC
rnacentral:lncRNA from 1 species